rnacentral:rRNA from 1 species
UACGGAGGGAGCUAGCGUUGUUCGGAAUUACUGGGCGUAAAGCGCGCGUAGGCGGCUUUGUAAGUUAGAGGUGAAAGCCCGGAGCUCAACUCCGGAACUGCCUUUAAAACUGCAAUCGCUUGAAUCCAGGAGAGGUGAGUGGAAUUCCGAGUGUAGAGGGUGAAAAUUCGUAGAUAUUCGGAAGAACACCAGUGGCGAAGGCGGCUCAC